ACUACGGGUGGCAGCAGUGGGGACUAUUUGGCAAUGGGCGCAAGCCUGACCCAGCAACGCCGCGUGAAGGAAGAAGGCUUUCGUGUUGUAAACUUCUUUUGUCAGGGAAGAGUAGAAGACGGUACCUGACGAAUAAUACACGGCUAACUACGUGCAAGCAGCCGCGGUAAUACGUAGGGGGCACGCGUUGUUCGGAUUUACUGGGUGUAAAGGUAUUGUAGCCGUGUUGACAAGUCAGAUGUGAAAUCCUGCGGCUUAACCGCAGAACUGCAUUUGAAACGGUUUAUCUUGAGUACUGGGGAGGCAGCCGGAAUUACUAGUGUAGCGGUGAAAUGCGUCGAUAUUAGGAGGAACACCAGUGGCGAAGGCGGUCUGCUGGACAGCAACUGACGGUGAGGCGCGAAAGCGUGGGGAGCAAACAGGAUUAGAUACCCGUGUAGUC
rnacentral:rRNA from 1 species